ACUUGGAUCCUCCUGUUUCAGCCUCCUCAGUCUCUGGGAUCACAGGCCUGCACCCCAGCUCCCCACUGUAUUUGUGUUCCUUAUAAGGGAUUAAUUUUUCUGAAUUUUUUUUAAAUUUCAGAGAGAGUAUUUCAGGAAUUGAACAAUGAUUCAUUUUCCUUUAUUUCUACCCAGGUCACUUGCAAAUGAUUUGCAAGUGGACUUAUUUUCUGAAGUAACUGGUCUUGACUGCCUGAUGUAAACCUAGAGAACUCUCAUUACUGGGUGACCUGACACUUGUCCUUAGCACAGUGAUCAGCCCCAGAGUUCCUCUGAUGCCUUGGAUCUAGGGCCACAAGACACACCCCUGAGUCCCAGGCCCUGCUUUACCCCAUUUCCUCCUCUGGGAGAGAAGCGGAAUGGUAGUCAUUACCCCUCAGAAUUAUUAGAAGGGUUCCACAAAUUAAUUAAGUGCUUCAAGCCACACCUGCAGAUAGUAGAAACUGUGUAAGUAUUUGAUAGGGAAACAAAGUAUAUGCUAAUGUUUACUUGAAGGGUUUGUUUGAGGAAUUCCUGUGACGUCUUGUGGGGUUGAGAAUCACCAUUAGUCUCCUCUUGUCUCCAUACUGGAGACCACACGGACACUGUCACAUGUGGCUCUGUAGGCCUGAAUGGUGGAUUCCCUGUUUACAGAUGACGUUUGGACUCAGAGAGGCCGUGUUUUGGGCCCAGAGACACACAGCUGGUGGGGGCCUUUCCAAGUCGGGGUUUACACCCCUGCCUGUCUGAGUGUGGGGGUGCAGCCAUCCUGUGCUCAGCCGGAGUCAGUGAUGCAGCCUGCGCCCCCCCGCCCCUCCCCCACAGCUGACCAUAGCUGAGAUGUGGCAGAGCCUGGAGUGGGAUUAGGACCGGCUUAUUGCCAAGGUGAAGAAGCAGCUGGAGCUGGAGAAGCAGCAGGCGGUGGACGAGACCAAGAAGAAGCAGUGGUGUGCCCACUGCAAGAAGGAGGCCAUCUUCUACCAGCUACUGUGACUACCCCUGCCAGCAGGCCCACUGGCCCGAGCACGUGAAGUCCUGCACCCAGUCAGCCACUGCCCCUCAGCAGGAAGUGGACACCAAGGUGACCACAGACACUGAGAACAAGCCCUCCCAGGGGCGCUCCUCCAGUGCCCAGCCAGCCGCCUCGGACACAACCAGUGCCUCCAAAGAGAAGGAGCCAUCAGCCGAGAAGAGCAAGGACAGCGGCUUGGAUCUUUCCAGGUUGCUGAGGCUGACCUUGAACUUGUGAUCCUGUUAUCUCGACCUCUGGAGUCCAUGAUAUUCAGGAUUGUGACCAGAUCCACAUUGAUGACAUCUAAUCAGAUGACAAUGGACAAGAUUUAAGGUGGGAAUCUGGGGAGUCAGAAAUGUCUAUCAGUUGAUUCUCAGGAGGGGAGGUCUAGUCACGUGGGCCAGAGGCGCCCGUCACUAGCCAGAUCUGGAACCUGAGCCCCUCUGAACUCGAAGCACAACCCUGCCCCCCUCUGUAGCAUCUUCUGUCACUUCUUCUGUAACCUCUGACCUCAGGCUCUGCUGUGUCGCUCACUCUCCAUCCCAGUUUACUGGAGUUGUGGGUGCAUACCAUAAAAACUCAUCCCUGCCCCCCCCCCAUCAUUGCCAUCAAGAGUUUGAUCCACGUCCCUUUGGAGACUUCAUGACAUUCAUUAGCUGGCAUGUAUUUUUAAUACAAAAAAAUUGAUGCAGUCAAUACUCAAGAAACACUUCCUGAACAAAUAAGUGGUGAGUCUGGUUUUCAGGGGAAAACACUCCUAAAACAGUUUCUGGAAAUCUGGUAACUGGCUGCCUGAUUAAAACGAGGCAGCUUUCAGAGUAGUGAGAUAGAAAUGUCCCAAGCCUGCCCCUAGGGAGACGUGACCAAAACAGAACCACAGCUCCUCUGUGCCAACCCCAAAUCAUCACAGCUCAGCACCUCCAAGCCAUCCUGGAUACGGUGAGCAGGUUCUGGUUACGGGUGUGGGCGUCUCCCCAUCCACACUUGAACUAGAACGGAGUCCCUGCCGGGCGCUUUGCCAGUCUCUCCAAAGCCCAGCACAAUAAGAAGUAAUCUGAUCAGCCAUCCAGAACAUCCAUCUGUCCCCAGGCUGGUGAGGAGCAAUGCCAUCCCGCAGGCUGAUUCCUGGUGUAAAUAAGGCCAGAUCAGAGUUAAUGGGUCAUUUCUGUGAAGUCAUCUCUGGGAGCCAGGCUCCCUCUCAAGGCAGCGAGACACCAGGGUCCAGGGUUAGUGCUUCCCCUGCAGCUGCUGGGAGCCCACCUCGGGCUGCGCUGUCUGGUAUCUUGUGCCAGGAAUCCAUCAUCUGAGGGUGUUUCCCCAAGUCAAAUUCCCCAUUUAGUCAUUCAGGAAAUAUUCACUAUAUUGAGCCUACUAUAGGCUCAGCACCAAGCAUCAAAUGUCUUUUUUUUUUUUUUUUUGGUGGGUACAGGGGUUUGGUUGUCAGUAAGACUCAACCUCAGGGCCCUUGUUCAGUGCCUGCCCUGCUUUCAAUGCUUCCUGUGGGUUAACCCCUGGCAUCUUUGAGGCAGCCCUAAGAGACUCUCCUGUCACCCCCUGUCAUAGUUGAGGAACUUGAGGCACAGAGAGAUCAAGACACCUGCCCAAGCUCACAUAGCUGGUGAAAGGUAGGAUCCAAACCCGAGCAGCCCAGCUCCAGAGCGCCACUCUUACUGACCCCUCAGUCCCCCUGGGCACCCCAUCCUCCUUAAGGGGACUCUAUCUCUGGACAUCUACCCUGAACCUGAAUGGGGACCCUAUAACACCUCCGUUGUCAGAGAUCCUGUGUUAAUCAGCUAUUCAUCAUCAUGGAAAAUUACCUGAGAUAAAAAUUAUGAGAAGGAGGGGUUUCAGAUGUUUUAGCUCAUGGGUCACUUAGCCCUGUGGCUUUGGACCUGGGGCAGAAGUCCACAUCACAGUGGAGCAUGUGGCAGAGGAGGCUGCUCACCUCAUGGAGGUGGGGAAGCAGAGAGACAGGAAGGGCUUGGCGUCCCAAUGUUCCCUUCAAGGGCACCCCCAAUGACCUAACAUCUUUCUACUAGGUCCUGCUUCUUCAAGUCUCCACCCUCUGCCCCAAUAACACCAACUGGAUGGCAGGCAAGUCUUUAACAUGUGGCCUUUGAGGGACAUCCCAGAUUCAAACUAUAGCACACCCCCAACUGAAGCCCUUUGCAUGACUCAGAUUGGAUUGAUUCAGGGCUAUUCUUCUUGCUCAAUUUAUCUUUUUUUUAUCUUGUUUUGUUUUUUUAUUGGUUCUUUUAGCUAUACAUGACAGUAGAAUUCAUUUUGAUGUAAUUGUAAAAGCAUGGAAUAUCUUCUUCUAUUUAGGACCCUGUUCUUCCUGCUCUUAUGGAUGUACAUGAUUGUAGGAUUCAAUAUGAUGUAUUCAUAGAAGUACAUAGGAAAAUUGAUUUGGAUUCAAAACAAUUCUUUCCCUUUCCUAUCCCCCCUCCCUUCCUUUCAUUCUCCUUUGUCUAAUCUAUUCUUCCCCUCUCCCGGCUUAUUGCAGUUUAACUUUCACAUAUCAGUGAAAACAUUCAACCU